rnacentral:rRNA from 1 species
AUUGAACGCUGGCGGCAUGCUUUACACAUGCAAGUCGAACGGCAGCGCGGGCUUCGGCCUGGCGGCGAGUGGCGAACGGGUGAGUAAUAUAUCGGAACGUACCCAGGAGUGGGGGAUAACGUAGCGAAAGUUACGCUAAUACCGCAUACGUCCUACGGGAGAAAGUGGGGGAUCGCAAGACCUCAUGCUCAUGGAGCGGCCGAUAUCUGAUUAGCUAGUUGGUGGGGUAAAGGCUCACCAAGGCAACGAUCAGUAGCUGGUCUGAGAGGACGACCAGCCACACUGGAACUGAGACACGGUCCAGACUCCUACGGGAGGCAGCAGUGGGGAAUUUUGGACAAUGGGCGCAAGCCUGAUCCAGCCAUGCCGCGUGGGUGAAGAAGGCCUUCGGGUUGUAAAGCCCUUUUGUCCGGAAAGAAAACCUGUCGGUUAAUACCCGGCGGGGAUGACGGUACCGGAAGAAUAAGCACCGGCUAACUUCGUGCCAGCCGCCGCGGUAAGAC